rnacentral:rRNA from 1 species
GAUGAACGCUGGCGGCGUGCCUAAUACAUGCAAGUCGAGCGAACGGACGAGAAGCUUGCUUCUCUGAUGUUAGCGGCGGACGGGUGAGUAACACGUGGAUAGCCUACCUAUAAGACUGGGAUAACUUCGGGAAACCGGAGCUAAUACCGGAUAAUAUUUUGAACCGCAUGGUUCAAAAGUGAAAGACGGUCUUGCUGUCACUUAUAGAUGGAUCCGCGCUGCAUUAGCUAGUUGGUAAGGUAACGGCUUACCAAGGCAACGAUGCAUAGCCGACCUGAGAGGGUGAUCAGCCACACUGGAACUGAGACACGGUCCAGACUCCUACGGGAGGCAGCAGUAGGGAAUCUUCCGCAAUGGGCGAAAGCCUGACGGAGCAACGCCGCGUGAGUGAUGAAGGUCUUCGGAUCGUAAAACUCUGUUAUUAGGGAAGAACAUAUGUGUAAGUAACUGUGCACAUCUUGACGGUACCUAAUCAGAAAGCCACGGCUAACUACGUG